rnacentral:rRNA from 1 species
UUUGUUACUUCAAACCAAUCGGACUUCGGUCUGACAUCAAGUGAUAUUGAACAAUUUAGCUGAUCGCACGGUCUAAGAACCGGCGACAUAUCCUUCAAAUGUCUGCCUUAUCAACUUUCGAUGGUAGAUUAUGCGCCUACCAUGGUUGUAACGGGUAACGGAGAAUCAGGGUUUGAUUCCGGAGAGGGAGCCUGAGAAACGGCUACCACAUCCAAGGAAGGCAGCAGGCACGCAAAUUACCCACUCCCGGCACGGGGAGGUAGUGACGAAAAAUAACAAGCUGGUCUCAAUGAGUUCCAGCAUUGUAAUGGGAACAAUUUAAAUCUUUUAUCGAGGAUCUAUUGGAGGGCAAGUCUGGUGCCAGCAGCCGCGGUAAUUCCAGCUCCAAUAGCGUAUAUUAAAGUUGUUGCGGUUAAAAAGCUCGUAGUCGGAUCUAGGAUUAGGGCUACGGUCGUUCAGCUUGGACGUACUGUAUGCCCGACUCCUUUUCUCUAGUAUUCGAUUGUUGCUCUUAAAUGAGUGACUUUAGUUGCUGGAACUUUUACCUUGAAAAAAUUGAAGUGCCCAAAGCAGGUU